UUCGUUGGCAUUUUUCUUCUGGGCACUUUAUGCCAUUUUCUCCGUUCUUUGUCGACACAUGUUGUGAUUCUCAAUCCACCGCUUCAGUUGUCCAAUGGUUUUGCUCCACCGAUCGUUACUUUAAGCUAACUCCAUCAUACGUCUCCUUCAUCUUCACAUGGAAAAUAGACAUUGACGGAGCGCGGUGCCAAAAACUUGCAACCGUACAACUUCUCCACACCACCAUCAUCGAUCCUUCAUCGACGUUCUUAUCCAAUCCGUUGUUACAGCCAUACAUACGAUUCGCCCUCCCUCUCUCUCGAUUCCAGAUUGCUCAGAUGGGUUCAUUUUAUGCCAUCCUAAGGUUACUUCCACCGACUCACCAUCAUCGAUUCGAACACCAGUGUUUAUGCCGAUAUUUGAGGAACUUUCUUGCUUAUUUAACAACUUAUGGAGGACUACAUCUGAUUUGGAGAGAUUAGAAAAGAUGAUAUAUCAUUCAAUUCGACUAGCAGCAGAUGUUCAUCGACAGUUGAAUAAGUUGUUCAGGGUAUGUAUAAUCACAGAGCAUAUUUUCCUCUCACAGUCCCUCUCUAACCCUAAAAACUGAAGAGAGGAGCAUGGCGAUUUUCAUAUGCGAGAGGUAUGGGAGAGACAAUGGAAACAGGAUAAUCGAAGGGGGGCAUUGAAGGCAGAGACUAAUUGCAACUUUUUUCACUAAUGCCUAAUUGAUUUGUUAAUGAAAUGUCAGGGAAAGCUAUCAGAUGUUCAGUGCGGGGAGCAGAUGGAACUACAACAUAAUAUGUAGGUAGUGCACUAUUCUUCUUUCUGUUUUCUAUGUCUUCCCUUUUCCAUCUUAGCGGGUAAAAAAGUUUUCAAUUGCUUACUUGCUCCCACAUGUGAUUGUAGUUGAAUAAGAAUAUGGUGUUUGGAUGGUAACAUAAUGCUUUUCUUUUGAUUUACUGUUGGACAGACUACGUUAUUAAAAGAAUGUAAAGUUUCUAAUUUGUACAAUGAUAUCAUAUGGCUUAACAUUAUUCUUAAUGGAUCUAUCUUUGGAUCCUACGCUUUGGAUAUAAUCAAUGUUCGUAUACAGCUUUUCACUGAAUUUUAUGGUGGUUUUAUAGUUGUAUGUUAUUCAUAUUUGCAGGUUUUGAAAUACAAUAUAGCAGCUGCUCAUAUUAGAUAAUUAUGACUUUUUUGGUUAUAGUAGCCUCAUGGCUCUACAACGAUUUAGAUUAUGUUGCCAUCCAAACACUUGCUUUUAUGCUCAGUGGAGAACCUGAUUUAAAUUUAGGCUCUACACAAGAUGGCCUACCAUAUUUUAGGCAACAAAUGUAAUGUUCCAACUCAUUCUUCAUUUUCCAUUUAAAAGACAUUUUUUUGCAUCUUCAACUUAAAGAAAUGGUUUUAAAAUACAAAUUUAAUCAAAAAUAUAGUUUUAAUUAACUUAUUUAGACAAAAUAGUUUUAAUUUUGACAUUCAAAUGUGAUGAAAUGAUAGAUUUGUCUUUCAUAUAGCAUUUCCUAUACUGCUUCAACUUUGAAGGUUUGCUUCUUCUUAUUUUACUCUUUUCAUUUUAGCAAAUCAAGUUUUCUCAAUUCUUAAUAUUAAAUUUGAUAACGUUUAUUUUUUUAUUGAAAAUUACAAACACUUUUUUUACGGUAUACUAUAUUUUUUUGGAUAAUAGAUGGUAUAUAUAUAUAUAUAUAUAUAUAUAUAUAUAUAUAUAUAUAUAUAUAUAUAUAUGUGUGUGUGUGUGUGUGUGUGUGUGAAAAAUUGCAUUUUAGCCUAAUAACCAUUUCAAGUUUCAUAAUGUUCCCAUAUUAUUCAAAGUUAACAUAAAUGCUUCGUCUUUUACUAAUAUUACAAAAAUGCAAGGUAAGAUAAAUUGGUGAAUUUUAUCGGAAUGGUCCAUGCAUAUAAAGUUUUUCAGAAAUGGUUCCAGUUCAACUAUUUUCAUGUCUAUUCGUUAGAAAAUAUGGGUAUAUCAGAUUUUAUGAAAGAACAAUUCAUUUUAGAAUAAACUUUUAAUGAUUUGCAUAUGUUUUUUUUAAUAAAUAUGCACAACUCAUGCAUUUCAUAAAAGUACAGUGUUAAGGGAUUAGGAGAGCCAAUGCGUUAAUGAAAUCGUGAAAAUAGUGAAAAAGAAGGUUAGAUUUCCCUGAAAUAUUUUAAAAAACAUCUAUUUGUUAAAAUUUAUUAAUGUAAAUUGUUUUCUUUAACUGCAGCCUGAACUUCAUUGAAAAGAGAAGAUAUUACUUACAGUGAUUUUCAUGUGAGAGUUAUGAUUAUUCAUUGUUUCGCUUUCCAGAUUUACAGAAAUGCAAAGUACACGUGCAACCAUGGAUGUCCAUUCAUAAAUGCUUACUGAACUUGAUCCACAAAAGAAAUAGGGAUUUUGGAAAAACUUUAUUGGAGACUUGGUAGAAUUUUUUGUUUUGUUUUCUACAUCGAAUUUUAAAUGAAACUUGAAGGAGAAUUACAAUCUUUAUGUAAUAUCCGUACAGAGCAGUUCACUCAUCUCUUGAAACACAUUACUAUA